AGUUAUAAUCUAAUAGGGGUCUUUAUGUGAUAGAAUUGAUUUCUCAUGUAUCUGGGAAGGUUUUCUUCCUAGCUGCUCAUAGAGCAUAUUUUUCCAUCGUAACUUUAUCACAGUACUGUUGUCAGGCAGCUGCAUAUGCGAAGGUCCCUCCCUGUGCUUUAGGUAAAACCUCAACCAAGCCAGGGAAGGAUUCUUGACCCUGAUAGAGGAAGAAUUCUCAACCAGGUUGGAAGAGUGUGGGUAAGGAAGGAAUUCAUUAAAGCAAGAGUAGAAGCGAAUGGCGGCAGCACCCACAGGCAGCAGAGAGCACGGGAGAGCAGAGGGAGGGGAGGGAAGCUCUCUGAACCCCUGCUCAGCAUAGGGCAGAUCCCUGGCCAGCUCCUGAAGCCAGGGUCACCUGGUGCCCAGUGUCCACUUGACUCUGCAUGGCAUGGGAACUAAGUCCUGCCCACCCCAGGAUUUGGGGGAGCCAUGGAGCACUGGAUGGAGUGAGUUCAUGUUCUAAGAACUUCCACUUCUAUAUUCUCUGUAGGACCUUAAACACUUCUUUACACAUAUACUAAUACAGCUGAUUAGCUCACUCAACAUCAAUUUUAAUCUCCUUGUAUAAUCCUUCAAGGCUGAAAAGUUAAAUUUUUCAGUGUGGCUCUGUUACAUGUUUAGAACUGGCAUGCAACAAAGAGCACAAUCUAAUCCAUUGCAUUUAAGAAUUGGUUGUGGUCUAGAAAGAAAGAAGUCAAUGAGUAGGAACAAGUCAGUGUGUCUUUGGCAUCUUACAGGAGAUGGUGAUGAGAUAAGAUAAACAGCUUCCUUUUAAAGGUAUGAUUCUGUAGGUUACAGAAUACACAUUAAAAUAGCUAGGUAGUUGGCAGUCGUGUGGUGAGUCCUUUAUAUACACAAAUCCAUUUUCUUCUCUUACCCAUCUUACCUAAAAGUUCAUUUUAUAGAUGAAGAGGCUAUAGUUCAUAAAGGAUAGUGAUAUAGCCCAGGUCUUUCAGCCAGCAGUUUGCAAAGCCAGGAUUCUCUGGCUCUCGAAUGCUAUGUGCAAAAUCUCAAAUGGCAAGUUACAUUAUUUUGACGUCUACAAGGAACUUCCUUCCAGGGAGAGAAUGAAUUAACCAACUGACAUUAAUGUUCCAGUCUUCUUGCCAACCACAGUUCUCUGAAAAAUGAAAAAUUGUGUCUGGUUGUAAGACAGUCCUUUAUGAGUUGGGAUGGCAUAAUUUUUCCAACCUCAUCCACUCCCUCAAACCUGAUACAUUGAAUAGGCAAAUUUCAGGAAUCAAUGAAGUUAAGAGACAUGCGGAUCCACCAGAAUGCUGCCAUGCUGGUGGUGGGGACCUCUCCCCCCUGGACAGCUCCUCUUUUCAUAUCCUGUCUUUUCUAAGGCCACAACCCCCAUUUCUUUUUCCCUUCCCUCUGUCUUUCAGAGGUUGUUGUGGUUUAUGCAUGAGGCUUUGGGGUGUUCACUGUAACUGCAUGACACAGAUUUUAAGCUAUUUUGCUGCAGCAGAAGAGCACCCCACCAAAUCUCGGCGGUCCAGAUAAAACAUCGCAUGCCCCUGUAAUCAGCGAUUGAUAUGUAGAUGAACUAAUUCUCUCUACCCUUUUGAAACACCUAUUGAUACACACAUACAUUAAAGCCAGGUGAACCCAAUCUAAUUAUAUGAGCCCUUGAAAGCAGAGAACUUUUUCUGGCUGGAGUUUGCAAGAAAGAUGCAAUGAAAGAAGGAGUCAAGGACAUGUGAUGGACAGCAGACUUGGAUAGAUAAGACAGAAGGGGAAGCCAGAAGAGACAUUCAAGACAUUAGAAGUGCUCAGCCUGACAUUGCUAACUUUGGAGACUGAGGAAGAAGACCAGGACUAGAAGGUAAGAAUG